UACGGAGGAUGCGAGCGUUAUCCGGAUUUAUUGGGUUUAAAGGGUGCGCAGGCGGCCUGUUAAGUCAGCGGUAAAAGCCCGGGGCUCAACCCCGGCGAGCCGUUGAAACUGGCGGGCUGGAGUUGGAGAGAAGUACGCGGAAUGCGCGGUGUAGCGGUGAAAUGCUUAGAUAUCACGCAGAACUCCGAUUGCGAAGGCAGCAUACCGGCGCCCUACUGACGCUGAGGCACCGAAAGCGUGGGUAUCGAACAGG
rnacentral:rRNA from 1 species